rnacentral:tRNA from 1 species
GAGAGUAUAGCUCAGCUGGUAGAGUGCAUGUUUAGCAUGCAUGAAGUCCUGGGUUCAAUCCCCAGUACUUCCU